rnacentral:rRNA from 1 species
UACGUAGGGUGCAAGCGUUGUCCGGAAUUAUUGGGCGUAAAGGGCUCGUAGGCGGUCCGUCACGUCGGGAGUGAAAUCCUGGGGCUUAACCCCAGAACUGCUUCCGAUACGGGCAGACUAGAGGUAGGUAGGGGAGAAUGGAAUUCCUGGUGUAGCGGUGGAAUGCGCAGAUAUCAGGAGGAACACCAGUGGCGAAGGCGGUUCUCUGGGCCUUACCUGACGCUGAGGAGCGAAAAGCGUGGGGGAGCGAACAGG